rnacentral:rRNA from 1 species
ACGAACGCUUGCGGCGUGCCUAAGAAAUGCAAGUCGAGCGGAGGAGAGGAUUUCGGUUUUCUCCUUAGCGGCGAACGGUCGCGUACCACGUAAGCAACCUGCCCGAAAGACCGGGACAAACUCCUCGAAAGGGGGGCUAAAUACCGGAUGUGUCCAGGGGAAGGACCUCUUCUCCUGAGUAAAGCGGCUUCGUGCUGGCUUUCGGAGGGGGCUUGCGGCCUAUCAGCUAGAUGGGGGGGUAACAGCCUCCCAUGGCGACGACGGGUAGCGGGUCUGAGAGGACGAUCCGCCGGACUGGGACUGAGAGACGGCCCAGACUCCUACGGGGGGCAGCAAUUAGGAAUCUUGUGCAAUGGGGGCAACCCUGACACAAGCGACGCCGCGUGGAGGAGGAAGGCCUUCGGGUUGUAAACUCCUUUUUGACGAGGAAGAAUCAGGUGAACGGUACUCGUCGAAUAAGCCCCGGCUAACUCCGUGCCAGCAGCCGCGUAAUACGGAGGGGGCGAGCGUUGUCCGAAGUUACUGGGCGUAAAGGGGCGCGUAGGCGGGGAGGUAAGUCCGCUGUGAAAGCCCGGUGCUUAACACCGGAGGGUCGGUGGAGACUGCCUCUCUUGAAGCGGCUAGGGGGAGAUGGAAUUACCGGUGUAGCGGUGAAAUGCGUAGAGAUCGGUAGGAACACCCGUGGCGAAGGCGGUCUCCUGGGGCCUUCUUGACGCUGAUGCGCGAAAGCUGGGGGAGCGAACGGGAUUAGAUACCCCGGUAGUCCCAGCCCUAAACGAUGGAUACUAGGUGUGGGGGGUAUCGACCCCUCCCGUGGCCGCCGUUAACCACAGUAAGUAUCCCGCCUGGGGAGUACGGCCGCAAGGUUGAAACUCAAAGGAAUUGACGGGGGGCCCGCACAAGCGGUGGAGCAUGUUGUUUAAUUAAUACGUCACUAACCGUAGAACCUUACCAGGGUUUGACAUCUAGCGCACCGUGGUGAAAGCCGCGUUCCCCGCAAGGGGGACGCUAAGACAGGUGUUGCAUGGCUGUCGUCAGCUCGUGUCGUGAGAUGUUGGGUUAAGUCCCGCAACGAGCGCAACCCUCAUCCCCUGUUGCCAGCGGGUAAAGCCGGGGACUCUGGGGAAACUGCCGGGGGUAACUCGGAGGAAGGUGAGGAUGACGUCAAGUCAGCAUGGCCUUUACAACCCUGGGCUACAAAACAUGCUACAAUGGACGGUAGACAGACCGAUCCGAGGGGGCGACCCGGAGGCAAUCGGGAGAAAAUCCGUUUUCAGUUCGGAUCGCAGGCUGCAACUCGCCUGCGUGAAGUCGGAAUCGCUAGUAACCGCAGAUCAGCCAAGCUUGCGGUGAAUACGUUCCCGGGCCUUGUACACACCGCCCCGUCACGUCACCUGAGUUGUCUGCACCCGAAGCCGGUGGGGUAACCGUAAGGAGCCAGCCGUCGAAGGUGUGGGGAGCGAGGGGGACG